rnacentral:lncRNA from 1 species
AUUUUAAUUAUUUAAAACAUUUUCUUUGUCCAUAAAAUUACCCAAAAAUAUUUUUCACUUUUCCUAAUGUCUUAUUUAAUUUUAUUUAAUUUUUAUUUUCUUAUUUAUUUAAUAUUAGUAUUUUAUUUUAAUUAUUUAUUCCAAGUGGUCCAUUUUAGCAUACAUUUUACUAUUGAUUUUUUUUUCAUGACUUAAAUUAUUUUUAGCUUUUGAUUUUUGGGAUGAAUGUUGACCACUGUUU